rnacentral:rRNA from 1 species
UACGAAGGGGGCGAGCGUUGUUCGGAUUUACUGGGCGUAAAGGGCGCGUAGGCGCUUGUCAGUCAGGCGUGAAAGCCCAGGGCUCAACCCUGGAAUUGCCUUCGAUACUGGACGUCUUGAGUACGGGAGAGGUGAGUGGAACUCCGAGUGUAGAGGUGAAAUUCGUAGAUAUUCGGAAGAACACCAGUGGCGAAGGCGACUCACUGGCCCGUUACUGACGCUGAGGCGCGAAGGCGUGGGGAGCAACAGG